rnacentral:lncRNA from 1 species
GCUUUGUUAAAAAUAUAAAGAAAUCUUAUAUGUAGUUGCUUAGACAAAUGUAUUGCUGACAGAUCUAAGGUAGGACUGACUCAUUUGGAACAGAGUUAGUAUAACAUCAAAAUGAGAAUUAUAAUCAGUUUGGUUUGUAUGGAGUACCAUUUUGGCAGAUUAUAAUUUUAUAUCUUGUCAAUCAUUUAUUAUCAAAUGUCAAUAAAACAUCUGACUGGAUAUUAAAUAUGACUACUACAGGGUUUCCCCUGGGUCAAUUAUUUUUUUCGCCACCUCUUUCGCCAAAACAAUAUAUUUUUCGCCACUUUAUUAUUUUUUUCGCCAAGUAACAUAAAUAUAUUUUUCCUGUUGUGCCCUUUUGUACUAAGAAGUAAUUUUUACAACAAACAAAAGCUUUUAUCACAUGAAAUUGAUCCCUCAUUUCAUGUGUAGUCAUUACAUUGAAGGGUUACUCUCAUUCGAGGGGUUGUUCCCAGCCUUUUGGAUAGAUUUUUUCAUAACGACAGUUUUCUUUUCUUGACCAUCGUAAAUGAAAAAGUUGAGACGUACAACUAUGCUUGAAACACGUGCAUGUGUCACUCAAACGACUUUAUUAAAGUCAAAGGAUAAAAGAAUUAAAGUUUUAAAUCGGAGAUUUUUCUUGCUUUUGAACAAUUUUCGUCACAACAACAGCUUUCUUUUCAAAACUAUAUUUAAAGGGAGGGAUGUCAAAAGUUUGCUUCAAACACGUGCGUCGCAAAGAUGUAAAUAAAUUCUGUAUGUGACAUUUAUAGCGGAAGCCAUUUGACCAUAUCAUUUUGUGAAACAAUUCAAUCAACACCUUUAUUAAUUAGUCCUUUGUUGUCGAUAGCUAUAAAAUGCAAUCAGCUGAUUAUUGAUGUUCUGUCUAAAUCUUAAUGAGGUCAAGGUGAAUUCCGAGUAUUGUCUGAUCGGGUAAAGUCCGAGAAACUCGAAAAAAAGUAAAUAAACAAGAUGGAGGAAAAUAAAUCGGUUUAUAUAUUUCUUUCGCCAAAUUCUUUCGCAAAUGACGAAUUUUUAUCGCCACAAUUAUUAUUUUUUCGCAAAUUGCGAAAAUGGCGACCGCCAGCGGAAACCCUGACUACUAUUUAAAAGAUGUGGGGUUAACAACAAUGGUGCAGCAUUACAUUGUAGAUGCAAGUUACAAAAUCUAAACAAAACAUAUAUUACUCAGAAUUAUGAUAGCAUAAUGUCCAGUGGGAGGUUACUCGGAAGUAGAAGAAAGAAUGUUAAUCAUCUUGUACACAACUUUGUGUUCUGUAUUUAUUUGCUUCAUCAAGGUUUCCUUUAAUUUAAUAAUACCUGCUGUGUUCCUACCUCAAUUAUGAAUUUCUUUUCUUCAUACAACAGUUUUAUGGAUGACCUUAGAUGGAAUUUUAAAAUAUCAAGAAUCUAAAAUUAAUACUAUAAAUCAGAAGAGCAUAAGUUAAAGAACAAAAUAAGCUAAAAAUGUUGAUAGGUUAUGGAGCUACUGUCCAAGAUGUUUGAGUUUUAAAAAAUGGCGGGAAAAGGCUGACUCUAGCUUUUAUCUUAUAUUUGCAUUAAUAUUAUUUGGGUCUCAAAUCAAAAGAACCUGCUUAAAUUUUGGUAAUGUACCUUUUAUGGGCUAUUGAAGUCCUAUUCGAAAAGAAAAAUGGGUGUUAUAGUGCAAAAUAUUUUACCCUGUAUCGUAGGUAAAAAAAACAUGGAGUUUGAACAUCUGACACAAAUUCCUAAACCUCACCUAAAAACAUCCUUCAGAAUCAAUUGUACAGAUCUAUACCUAUUGAUAUGCAUACAAAGCACUUAGUAAUAUCAAAUAUAACAUAUAAUAU